CCAUCCAUGCCAUGCCAUUCAUCACUUUGAUCCAAUAUUACCACUACUUGAUUGCCACUGCAUAUAAUCCCUUGCGAUUUAUAUUGAAUUAAUAGUUCUUGUUCUUGCUUGCUUGGGUAAUCCUAAUUAAUGAUUUUCAUGUGGAGUGUUUCAAAUUUUUUUGGUACUCUACUAGUAGUAGUUUUUAUUUUUUUAUUUUUAAAAAGAAGUAAAGGAAAGGAAAACAUUGAAACAAACAAACAUUUGAUUCUCAUGAUCUCACUGGAGCUGGAGUUGCAUGCAUUGCUUUACCCUGGCCGUAUGGGCCCCACCCCAAUACAAAUGGAGUUUAUUAAUUUUGUCUCCAUCCAAGCGCUAGUUGCGUUGCAUUGCGGCGAGCCAGAUUUUACUCCUUGUUUGUGCCUUUCUUUUCUUCUUUCCUUCUCCCCACGGAGGUGUACGUACUGAGUGACUGGUUGGUGGGCCCCACCCAGCGUCUCUUCUCUUCUCUUCUUUUUUAUUGCUGCCAGGCUGGCCUGGCACUUGCUGUAAUUACUUUUCUGUAAUUUGGAUUAAUCCUUCGCGUCACAUUUUCUACAUCUCAUCCUUCCAUUCCACUCCCUUCAUCUUCUUCCUCUGAUAGAUAGAUCUUCUUCUUCUUCUUCGCGUCACAUUUGGAUCUUCUUCAUCUUCAUCUGAGAGAGAUCAGGGCGGGGCGGCAAUGGCGUUGAAGAGCAGUAGUACGAUGGAGCUGGUGUCCCGCAUGUCGAAGAGCAUGAGCGUGGCCAACAACAUCCUCGCCGUGCACGUCCCCCGCCUGCACGCCCUACGCGCCGCCCUCGACGGGAUCCAGGACGAGCCCUCCCGCGCCGACCUCUCGUCCUCCUCCGCCGCCACCGACGCCUGCAGGCUCAUCCGGGACACCGCCGCUGGCCUCACCCACGCCACGAUCCACCUCCACAACGCCGCCUACUACCUCUCCUCCGUGCUCCGCAUCGCGCUGCGCCACGCCGACGCCGACGCCUCCACCGACUUCUCCUCCAAGCUGCCCUCGCUCGCCGCCAACCCCUUCCCCCGCCUCGCCGCCCACCUGCUCGCCUCCAUCCCCACGCCGCCGCCGCAGCCCACCGCCUGCACCCUCGACGACGCGUUGCUCGCGGUGUCCGUCGUCCACAACACGCUCGCGCUCCUCCUCGACUACAACCUUGAGAGGUGCAUCCUCUACCUCCGCCUCCUCGGCCGCCGCAACGACCCCAAUCUCCAUCGCCACAACCGCCUGCCGCUGGCCCGCGACCGCCUCCGUGCCGCCUGCGUCAUGUUAGACUUCGCCGCCGCCUACUGCAACGUCGCCGCCAACGCCAUCAACGCCCACUACAUCAAGCUUCAAAACGAGGCCAGCUUGAUUUUCGGUUACACCUGGAACCUACCCUGAUCAAUCGUCUUCUUUUCUCUCCUCUUCUCCGUCGAUCUACGUACGUUAGCACGCACGCAUGCCAAGUACAGCUGGAUCGAGGAGAGGGAGGCGAAUUGAUCGACGGAUCAUCAAUUGAACAGCUUAAGGAUCCCCAGCUUCUUAUUAAUUGGUCCAAUUCAGGCUCAAGCCCGGCCGCUUUUCUUUUUCUAAUUUCUUUUCCCUUCUUAUCAUCUGCGCUGUGUCUGGUUCAUCGAUUGAUCCAUCAUCAGGUGGUCAAUCUGGAGUAGUUAGUAUACUAGUAGCAGUAAUUCUGAGUCUUUUGGACUGCACGACUACUUAAUUUUGGAGUAUCCAUCCAGCUUUUAAUUACCAAGCAGUACUACAAACCUGUCUUUGGAGUAGUAGACAAAGAAAAAGUUGUAGGUAGACGGGCAGAUCAAUUACAUUCUACGCCUGUUAUGAUCAAUCGACGGCAUUUUGUUAUUUGAUCAUUGUGAGUAAACGACCUACAUUGUUAUUUGAUCACACCACUAUUUUGUUA